rnacentral:rRNA from 1 species
AGUGAACGCUGGCGGUAGGCCUAACGCAUGCAAGUCGAACGGCAGCACAGUAAGAGCUUGCUCUUACGGGUGGCGAGUGGCGGACGGGUGAGGAAUACAUCGGAAUCUACUUUUUCGUGGGGGAUAACGUAGGGAAACUUACGCUAAUACCGCAUACGACCUACGGGUGAAAGCAGGGGAUCUUCGGACCUUGCGCGAUUGAAUGAGCCGAUGUCGGAUUAGCUAGUUGGCGGGGUAAAGGCCCACCAAGGCGACGAUCCGUAGCUGGUCUGAGAGGAUGAUCAGCCACACUGGAACUGAGACACGGUCCAGACUCCUACGGGAGGCAGCAGUGGGGAAUAUUGGACAAUGGGCGCAAGCCUGAUCCAGCCAUACCGCGUGGGUGAAGAAGGCCUUCGGGUUGUAAAGCCCUUUUGUUGGGAAAGAAAAGCAGCAGGUUAAUACCCCGCUGUUCUGACGGUACCCAAAGGAUAAGCACCGGCUAACUUCGUG